GACGAACGCUGGCGGCGUGCUUAACACAUGCAAGUCGAACGGAAAGGCCCUGCUUUUGUGGGAUGCUCGAGUGGCGAACGGGUGAGUAACACGUGAGUAACCUGCCCUUGACUUUGGGAUAACUUCAGGAAACUGGGGCUAAUACCGGAUAGGAGCUCCUGCUGCAUGGUGGGGGUUGGAAAGUUUCGGCGGUUGGGGAUGGACUCGCGGCUUAUCAGCUUGUUGGUGGGGUAGUGGCUUACCAAGGCUUUGACGGGUAGCCGGCCUGAGAGGGUGACCGGCCACAUUGGGACUGAGAGACGGCCCAGACUCCUACGGGAGGCAGAAGUGGGGAAUAUUGCACAAUGGGCGGAAGCCUGAUGCAGCAACGCCGCGUGCGGGAUGACGGCCUUCGGGUUGUAAACCGCUUUCGCCUGUGACGAAGCGUGAGUGACGGUAAUGGGUAAAGAAGCACCGGCUAACUACGUG
rnacentral:rRNA from 1 species